rnacentral:rRNA from 1 species
UACAGAGGGGGCAAGCGUUGUUCGGAAUUACUGGGCGUAAAGGGCGCGUAGGCGGCCCGCUAAGUCGAACGUGAAAUCCCCGAGCUCAACUCGGGAACUGCGUCCGAUACUGGUGGGCUUGAAUCCGGGAGAGGGAUGCGGAAUUCCAGGUGUAGCGGUGAAAUGCGUAGAUAUCUGGAGGAACACCCAUGGCGAAGGCAGCUCUCUGGGUCGGCCCUGACGCUGAGGCGCGAAAGCGUGGGGAGCGAACGGG